GUGUGUUCCCACCAGCAUCACCACACCCACGUGAUCUCCUUCUGCUCCUGACAAACAGGAUGAGACGGGAAGAACAAAGCAUUACUUCCUGACAAGGAUUCAGUACCUGAACUCAUGAGGAUCCCUCAGACAAAUCCAAAUUGAAGAACAUUCUACAAAAUAACUUGCCAGUAAUUCUCAAAAAUAUCAAGGUCUUGGAGGUCAAGAAAGACUGAGGAAUUGUUUGGUACUGAAGGAGUCUAAGGAGAUGUUACAAGUAAAUUUAGCAGGUGAUUCUAUGCUGCUUCCAUUGUCUGUAAAGGAGAUUUUAAGUGUUAAUUUUCUGAUUUUGAUGGUUGUACUGUGGUUAUAAAUUCAUAAUCUAUUCCAAGUUAUGGGGCAAGUUAGCAACUUGACUCUCAAAUGAUAUAAAGAAAAUUUCUUUGUACUGGAUUUGCAACUUUUCUCUGAGUUUCAGAUGGUAUCAGAAUAAAAUGAUGGAUACAAAGAAAAAGAAUACAACUCUUAUAAUUCUGUAGGUCAGGUAUUCAAGUGGGACUCAGCUGAGCAGUUUUUGUGCUCUGUGUAGCAAAGGUUUGGUCACUCACUCGGCUGCAUUUAGCAAGAUGCUGAGCUAGAAGUUCCAAGAAGUCUUCACUCGCUGUCUGGCUCCUCUCUGCUCCUCCAUGUGUACCACCCUCUUCCCCUGCAUGGAGUGUCAUCAUUCAGGAGUCCAGCCCAAGAUUCUUUUGGUCUGAUGGCUGGAUUUCCAGAGCCACAGAGAAGACAGCCAGGACUCUUAGUCUUUUCACCUGGAUGGUGGUUACACAGGAGUGCUCGCUUUGUAAAAAAUUAAUCAGGCCAUAUAUUUAAGCUUUUGUGUACCUUAUAGCAUAUAAAAUACUUCAAUAAAAAAAGUAAAAAUAAAUUAUAGUUACUGUUUUUCUAAUUGCACAUCCUCCUUUUUCACUUUUCUACUUAACACCAUGUAAUGGGGCAGAUUCUUCCUCGGAUGAAGCCAAGAUGGUAACAUAAGCAUGGGCAUUUGAUCACCUCCCUAUCCAACCCCCUACAGACACAGCCUAGGCAAAUAUAAAAUGGGUAAGUUUUGACUUAUUCUAGAAAAUAA
rnacentral:lncRNA from 1 species